UACGUAGGGGGCAAGCGUUGUCCGGAUUUAUUGGGCGUAAAGAGCGUGUAGGCGGUUUUACAGGUCCGCUGUGAAAACUCGGGGCUCAACCCCGAGACGCCAUCCGAUACUGCGGUGACUUGAGUCUGGUAGGGAACACGGAAUUCCUGGUGUAGCGGUGAAAUGCGCAGAUAUCAGGAGGAACACCGAUGGCGAAGGCAGUGUUCUGGGCCAGUACUGACGCUGAGGAGCGAAAGCGUGGGGAGCAAACAGG
rnacentral:rRNA from 1 species